UCAAACUUGGUCAUUUAGAGGAAGUAAAAGUCGUAACAAGGUUUCCGUAGGUGAACCUGCGGAAGGAUCAUUACUGAGUGAGGGCCCCUCGGGGUCCAACCUCCCACCCGUGUUUAACGAACCUUUGUUGCUUCGGCGGGCCCGCCUCACGGCCGCCGGGGGGCUCCUGCCCCCGGGCCCGCGCCCGCCGAAGCCCCCCCCCUGAACGCUGUCUGAAGUUGCAGUCUGAGAAACUAGCUAAAUUAGUUAAAACUUUCAACAACGGAUCUCUUGGUUCCGGCAUCGAUGAAGAACGCAGC
rnacentral:misc_RNA from 1 species